rnacentral:lncRNA from 1 species
CUGACCAGCGACCGCCCCAUCACUCCAAAAAAGCUGGGUACACAUCUUGAAUCCAGUUUGGUUCACUGGAUCCGGCUGCAAUCUGGUCAAAAACUGGAGAUGAUAAAAUAAGGAGAAACAUGCGAAGAGAAACUUUAUCAAACUAUAUAUUUUAACACGAUAAAAUAUGUUUAAUUGUUUAUAAUUAAAUUUUUAUUAUUUUUUAAAUAAUCUAAAGACUUUUUUUAAAUUACUUAUAUCGUCCCUUCUAUAAUCUACUCCCUC